rnacentral:rRNA from 1 species
UACGGAGGGUGCAAGCGUUAUCCGGAUUCACUGGGUUUAAAGGGUGCGUAGGCGGGCAGAUAAGUCAGUGGUGAAAUCUCCGAGCUUAACUCGGAAACUGCCGUUGAUACUAUUUGUCUUGAAUACUGUGGAGGUAAGCGGAAUAUGUCAUGUAGCGGUGAAAUGCUUAGAUAUGACAUAGAACACCAAUUGCGAAGGCAGCUUACUACACAGCGAUUGACGCUGAGGCACGAAAGCGUGGGGAUCAAACAGG